rnacentral:lncRNA from 1 species
AAAAAAAGUAUUAGUUACCGGCUUAUGCUGGUAUGCUCAUCAGGUAGCCAAGUUUUGAUUAUGUGGGCUCGGUGCCAUAUUUUUUUAUUUGAGCAUGCAUGUAUGUCUUAGGUUUCAGAUCCUUUGCCUUUGCUGGAGCGCUCGAUCUCUUAACCUUUUCUUACCCCUGGAAAAGAGUUAAAUCGAUGACAGAUUAUGCAACCGUAUUUUGGAUUUCUAGCGUACUGAGUGUAGCUCAACUCUGCUUCUUGUCGUGAAAUCUAUCCAUCCGAACAGAUGCGCUCAUAUUUACGUCUAAUUAUUCUUUUAUCGAUAGAUGAUUUAUAUAUGUACCCGCCAAUUAAAUAUGGCAAUAAACCUAUGUAUACUAGGUAUUGUCACCCCGAACCCACCCCCGAUAAACAAAUUCUUACACCAGAGAUCCCAAAAUAACUAAUGGGAAUUAUUUUUCUUUCAAUCCACACCCAUGUUCCUUGGCUGGUUAAUUGGUGACCC